UACUGUAGUGUGGGCACUUCCAGU
rnacentral:miRNA from 13 species